rnacentral:rRNA from 1 species
UAGGGAAUAUUGCACAAUGGGCGAAAGCCUGAUGCAGCCAUGCCGCGUGGACGAUGAAGGCCUUCGGGUCGUAAAGUCCUUUUCUGAGGGAAGAACAGCUUGGUCAGGAAAUGGGCCGAGUUUGACGGUACCUUAGGAAUAAGCAACGGCUAACUCCGUGCCAGCAGCCGCGGUAAUACGGAGGUUGCGAGCGUUGUUCGGAUUUACUGGGCGUAAAGGGAGCGCAGGCGGUUCGUCAAGUCGAAAGUGAAAAUCCGUGGCUCAACCUCGGACUUGCUUUCGAUACUGUCAGACUCGAGUACGCGAGAGGAAAGUGGAAUUCCAGGUGUAGCGGUGAAAUGCGUAGAUAUCUGGAGGAACACCAGUGGCGAAAGCGACUUUCUGGCGCGUUACUGACGCUGAGGCUCGAAAGCGUGGGGAGCGAACGGGAUUUGAUACCCCGGUAGUCCACGCUGUAAACGUUGUGCACUAGGUGUGGGAGGUAGUUGACCCCUCCCGUGCCGUAG